rnacentral:snoRNA from 1 species
AACGUAAAUUCACAGCCAUUCGCAGUACACAACAGCAUCACAAUUGCAGGUUUAGUUGUUUAACGACUUGGGACCCAUGACUUUUGUGAUACGUACUGUCUUAAUGCCAGCCUGAGCUGAAGAACAACCCACAAAGUUAGUUGAUCUUGGGUGCAAUGAACCAAUAUUGAUCUCUUUUAUGUGAUUGAGGAGAGGAAGCCUUCGUGCUCUUCGUAUGGGGUUGAUUGCAAGGAUCGACAAAACAUUU